GCAUCAGACAAAUCCCAGCUUAAUUCUGCAGAUGUCUGGUCAGUACUCCUCUAACUGUCAAGAUUAUCAAAACUAAGGAAAGUCUGAGAAACUGCCGCAGCCCAGAGGAGCCUCAGGAAACAUGAGGACUAAAGACAUCCUGGGAGCCACAUCAGGAGGAGAUUCAGGGAGCAAACAAAAAUGAGGCAAACAGGAGCUGGUCUAGAAACCUGAAGGAAGGACAUCUCUGCUGGAAGAUUGGCAGCCCAACUCUGUGACCAAAGCAGCUGCAGACAGAUGAAACCCCUGAAAAUUCCUUAAGGGGUCUCUCACAGCAGUGCUACUCAAAGGGGGUCCACAGACAGCCACCCCUUGGAACUUUUGAUUGGACCCUGGCCCAGACCUUCGUGAACCAAAGCUCUCCACGUGAUUCCAUGCGCGGCACAGCGGCGAGACCCUGCCAGCGGCCUCCGGCACUGCUCUCAGGCGGAGGAGGUGUUCAAUGAGCUUUCGCAGAAUUAAAUUGAUUGCUCCCCUUUGAAUGAAGCAAAGCUUCAAGUAGAAGCACUGCCUUCUGCCUUCAAGGACUGAACAAAUGUGACUGAACAAUACGUCUGUGCCCUGAGAACACAGGGGAAAACAUUAAAAAGCAGCUCCUCCCCGCACAUUCUGUCUUCACACACUUGAGAGACUUCAAGGAGCAGAGGCUUUUAUGGUCUGUGACGAGUGAGUUAAAUACUAGCCAAUUCAGACUUCACAAUAGUGCCAACGCUGACUACAGAUGGAAAGUCUUACAGAAGAAAGGAGGCUAAUGGCCAUGGAGAGUGUCGAUUCCUAACCAGGGCUGGAUCAAAAGCCCGACACUCAAGUGAAUGAAGUCCCCAUUCCUUCUAGCUGUCACUGCACCAGAGGGAGUAGUGCCAUGAAGCCAAAACUGCCGAAAAUGAAGUAUUUUCCCCCAAACAUAGUGACUUCUGCAAAAUCUAGACUCUAUAAACAGUUUAAACCAACUGGAGCAAUCAAGAA